ACCACCGUAGCUCAAUGGUAGAGCGUCGGACACGCUAUUCGAAGGUUGCAGGUUCGGAUCCUGCCGGUGGCA